GUUUAUAUAGUUUAACCAAAACCCUACAUUUUCAUUGUAAAAUUAGAUUUUAUCUUAUAAAUA
rnacentral:tRNA from 1 species